UGGGGAAUAUUGGACAAUGGGCGAAAGCCUGAUCCAGCCAUGCCGCGUGUGUGAAGAAGGUCUUCGGAUUGUAAAGCACUUUAAGUUGGGAGGAAGGGCAUUAACCUAAUACGUUAGUGUUUUGACGUUACCGACAGAAUAAGCACCGGCUAACUCUGUGCCAGCAGCCGCGGUAAUACAGAGGGUGCAAGCGUUAAUCGGAAUUACUGGGCGUAAAGCGCGCGUAGGUGGUUUGUUAAGUUGGAUGUGAAAUCCCAGGGCUCAACCUGGGAACUGCAUUCAAAACUGACUGACUAGAGUAUGGUAGAGGGUGGUGGAAUUUCCUGUGUAGCGGUGAAAUGCGUAGAUAUAGGAAGGAACACCAGUGGCGAAGGCGACCACCUGGACUAAUACUGACACUGAGUUGCGAAAGCGUGGGGAGCAAACA
rnacentral:rRNA from 1 species